UUAUGGGGUAAAUACCUCUCUUUACA
rnacentral:tRNA from 1 species